GGUUAAAUGAUUGUAUAUUCUUCACCUGAUUUAUAUCUACAUCAUGUUUUAUGUAGGCCUACACAUCUUUCCUAUAUUUGCUCAUUCAGUCCUACAAGCUAUUUGCCAUAAACGGACACAGAACAUACAUGUUAAAUGUCCUAUGUUCAGCAGAUGUACUUAUAAAUUGGUAAAACAGUUCCAUGACAUAUAAAGUAUGCUGCUCUAAAGUAGUACUGUGUAUACGUCAACAUUCAAAUGAGUAAACAAGGUGGUGGUGGGUGAAAGAAUAACAGUUGUAAUACAAUGGAGGUUAUGCUUUCACGGCAGGGUAGCCUCGUGGUUAGAGCGUUGGUCUAGUAACCGGAAGGUUGCAAGUUUAAACCCCCGAGCUGACAAGGUACAAAUAUGUCGUUCUCCCCUGAACAGGCAGUUAACCCACUGUUCCUAGGCCAUCAUUGAAAAUAAGAAUUUGUUCUUAACUGACUUGCCUAGUUAAGUAAAGGUAAAAUAAACUCACCAUGUUCCACUUUGUAUCACACAAUUGUAUGUUAACUAUAAACAAAAAAGUUAUCGUGUGGACUUUCACAGUGAAUGGGAUCUCAAGUUUUAAUGCACAGCCACAACGACACUAAAUUAGAUGGUAAUUUGUCUAGUUUGUGGUAGUUAAUGAGGCAUGAUGAUAGUUCUAUUAUACUGCUUUCUAGCUGAUGAUGAGUGUAAAUAAAAUAAUGAGGCAGCACUUUGAAGAGAAACCGUACCAUUUGUGACCUUUCAUUACUCUGCUAACUAGUAUGUAUUUUAUUUGAACAUCAAUAUUUAUUUGAUUGAUUUUCUGUAAAUUGUAUUUUCAACAUCUAAAUUAUUUGAUUUACAUUCAUUUAUUUACUUGUUGCAUUUAAUGAAAUACCCUCCUGUACAAAUACAAUAAUUUUUGUUUCUGUUUCGAUUGAAAACAAGGAGGUAAAUUAUUCCUGUAAAUAGAUGUUUGUUUUUGUACUUUUAAAUAAAGCUUUUUUUUCUCUU
ensembl:lncRNA